AUGGGGAAUGGAUGAAAAUAUUAAAUGUGCCUGAUUAUUUUUCUGGUCAUAGGAAUAACCAUUUCUAGUUACAGAAAAAAGUUACAGAUUUUUUGGUUGCGUCAUACAUUUUAUAAAAAUAAAAACAUUUUGCUUCACCGCACGUCCGGCCCAUUACGGCUGUUAAGAGAACUUUCUAAGUCUUAAAAAGUUAUCGCUAUUUGAAUCUGUGGAGCGCAUGACAUUGACAGUUGAUUGACAGCUUGUCAUUGUUCUCGCGGAAUUCAUAACCUUUUGUGCUCUCAUCUGGUGAACUGGUUUCUUUGUAUUUAUGUGAUUAUUACGACUCGCUUCCCCACCCGGACCUCUGAUUUUGCCUGCUCCAACGACGACCUUCGCUUUUGAACCCCGGACCUGAUUUUGAUAGCAAUUUCGACGACCCCUGGCAUUUGAAUUCUGCAAACAUGGAUACCGCUGCUUUUGUUAGAGCAAACUCAUCUAAUUUGCCAAUAGUAGACCCAUAUAUGCUUAUGGAGUUUAUGAAGAAUAGCGACAAACAUAAUGCCGGUGAAAUAAGAGAUGCCAAAACUUUGUCGUCUUCAAGAGAAUCAUAUGUUGAGACUGCUAUUGGAUAUGUUGAAACAAAGCGGACUGGGAAUCUUUGUGAUGUGAGAGCUAAAGUUGUUCCUGAACAAAGAAUAACAAGCAAAUACUAUGUUGUGAUGUUCCAUUUAGAACGAGGCUACACCUAUAUGCAGUGCCAAGGAGUCGAGCCAAUCUGAAAUACGCAGGCAGCCGACUUCACUUGGGAUGCGAUCCGGAGGGAGAAGCUAGUACUGGGGUGCCCCUGGCCAUAGAUGAGAACAGUAUUCCAUGUGGGGGCGCUUAUAAAGCUGUGGGCCGGUGUGAAAUACUGUCUCAUUUAUAAAUCUAUCUAGCACCCCAAAGCUUUUUGGAGGCUAAUUUGGCCUUACCCUCUACAUAUAUGGCCUAGGAACUGGACUUACCUGCCUACUACUCGAGGUUACCUAUGGUAUAUGAUAAAAUAAAACAACAUAAUA